rnacentral:lncRNA from 1 species
GAGCCUGGACCCCCAUGGGAGCAUCCAAGAUGCCACAUCAGCAGAAAUGAGGAGUGUUGGGAGGUGUCUCUCAGGCUACAAGUCAUGCAGUCCGAGGAUAAAGAAGUUGCCUGUAUAUCACACAGCAUCUCCUGCUGGUUUCAGCACGUGGGAAAGCAUAUCCUUUACUCAGUGGCACUUUCCAUGCAGCACAGAUACCCACUGAGAGUCCACAAAACUCAGAUCACGUUCCCAGGCUGCCACCCUGGGCUUGGCUUCCCCAAUUCCCUGUGAAUACAGCUCCUCAGAGACGCCACUGAUUCCUGGCACACGAGUCCUUUGAAAGGAGACCAUGAAAUUUCCCUGGUUUGUUUCAUGUCUUCUAGCGGUGCUUGAUUAUGAAGACCUCCCAAAAAGAAACAGCUCAGUCCAAACUUCCAGUAAAAGGCUCCUUUGGAAAGUGGACAGAAAGCCACUGUGCUUGGUCCAACAUGAGGGAGAGAAUGGCAGGAAACUGGGGAGCAAUUGUGAAGAAAUUCUGUCUCCUCUCCUCUCCUCUCGCCCCAGAGCGACUGGCAGGUGGUCAGUGCAGGCAAAACCUCUGGGGAAAGGAGAAUACAUCCAGAGGCACGUGGAGAAAAGUUUCAUUGUGCUGUGACCAUUUCUGUCCAAGGACUCCUGUAAGAAGCAGGUGCCAAUGUGAAAACUGCUGCUCAGGGGGAGAAGAGAGCACAGAGGGUCCCGUCCAUCUCUCUGCUGCAGUGAACACCAAGUGCAGAUUCCUGGCUUCCAGCAGUGUGUGCCGUAGCCAUGGGACCACAUUACCUUCAGUUUUUAACUCUUACUAUAGCAUCACAAACCUCCAGGCCCCAUGGCAGCUCAUUGAACCUCCCUUUUCCAGUUCCUUGCACUCUAAAAAGGUGAGAAAAAUUCUUGCCAGCCCCACAAUUGGCUCAGGAUUAAACGUCUGCAAAGUUUGAUGAAAAGACAAGGUGUGAAUGCUGGCUGCUGUCAGCGAAGGAAAUGGGGCAGUUUAGUGGGUUAGGAUACCACCUACAACUUCUGUAUUUACUGCAGCAGAGAGCAGAGAAUUGGGCUUUUGGGUUUUGGCUAUUUUCUACUCAUUGGACUACAUGAGGCAUAAGAGUAAUUUUGAAAUACAGCAGAGAGACAUUGCUGUUAAUGAUGGACACAACAAAUAUUAGACAAUAACAGUGUGGUGCUAGCCAUGUCAAAUUCCAUCUUGCUUCAGCUGCUUUCCAGGAAAAUAGAUUUCUGGCUUUAAAUAUGAGGAUUAGCAGCAGCAGAUUUAGGGCUUAAAAUAAAGUAUGUAUUUUAGAUUUAUUUAGGGGCCUU